rnacentral:rRNA from 1 species
GACAGAGGUGCCGAGCGUUAGGCGGAAUCACUGGGCUUAAAGCGUGUGUAGGCGGGCGGGCAAGUACCUUGUGAAAUCCCACGGCUCAACCGUGGAACGGCCGGGUAUACUGCCUGUCUUGAGCCAACUAGGGGCGAGCGGAACAGACGGUGGAGCGGUGAAAUGCGUAGAUAUCGUCUGGAACGCCAAAGGUGAAAACAGCUCGCUGGGGUUGUGCUGACGCUGAGACACGAAAGCCAGGGGAGCGAACGGG